rnacentral:misc_RNA from 1 species
AAGUCGUAACAAGGUUUCCGUAGGUGAACCUGCGGAAGGAUCAUUACCGGGGUUCAUCCUGCUCUGCAGGAACUCCCACCCUUGAUUACAUAUAGCGUUGCUUCGGCGAGACGCUGGAACAGCCAAUUGACCUCUCACGUCGAUGCGUGCUCGCCGGAGUUUCAUACUCUACAUUAUGUGUCGUCAGAGAAUCAAAAUCUAAAGA